rnacentral:rRNA from 1 species
CUAAAUACUACCCAGUGACCGAUAGCGUAUAGUACUGUGAAGGAAAGGUGAAAAGCACCCCGGGAGGGGAGUGAAAAAGAACCUGAAACCCUGUGCCUACAAGCACCUAGAGCACGUCAAUGUGUGAUAGGGUACUUUUUGUAGAACGGUCCGGCGAGCGAUUGUAUGCAGCAAGGUUAAGGACUUAAGGUCUGGAGCCGAAGCGAAAGCGAGUUUGAAAAGGGCGUUAAGUUGCAUACAAUGGGCCCGAAACCGGGUGACCUACCCAUGGUCAGGUUGAAGUGGAAGUAAAAUUCCAUGGAGGACCGAACCGACCUCCGUUGAAAAGGCGGCGGAUGAACUGUGGGUAGCGGAGAAAUUCCAAUCGAACCCGGAGAUAGCUGGUUCUCCCCGAAAUAGUUUUAGGACUAGCCUCAAGUUAGAUACCUGGAGGUAAAGCACUGAAUAGCCUAGCGGCCGAGAGGUUAGCGAAGCUUAUCAAACUCAGAAUGCCAGAGUAUUGAUGCUUGGGAGUCAGACAGUGUCAGAUAAAUGUCAUUGUCAAAAGGGAAACAGCCCAGAUCUACAGCUAAGGUCCCAAAGUCAGGUUAAGUGGAAAACGAUGUGAAGAUACGUAGACAACCAGGAUGUUGGCUCAGAAGCAGCCACACAUUCAAAGAGUGCGUAAUAGCUCACUGGUCGAGCGUCUUUGCGCGGAGAAUUUAACGGGGCUAAACCUGACACCGAAGCUUAGGCAAUACAGCAAUGUAUUGGGUAGGGGAGCGUUGUAUACGCGGUGAAACAGUAGCGCAAGCGGCUGUGGAGUGUAUAGAAGUGAGAAUGCCGGAAUGAGUAGCGCGAAUGCAGUGAGAAUCUGCAUGGCCGAAAGCCUCAGGUUUCUGGAGGAAGGUUCGUCCGCUCCAGGUUAGUCGGGAGCUAAGGUGAGGCCUAACGGCGUAGCCGAUGCACAGACGGUAGAGAUUCCGUCACCACCAAAAGAGUUAAGCACAGGGACACAUUUGAAGUCUCGGAGCCGGGUGUUGGUUCCGGUAGCGAUCGAGGGAAGUUAGUACCGAAGUCCGGGAUGGAAGAUGGCGAGAAAAGCUGUGUGUAUUUCUGCGGUGCCCGUACCGCAAACCGACACAGGUAGGUAGGAAGAAGAUUCUAAGGCCAACGGGAGAAGGGUUGUUAAGGAACUCGGCAAAUUGACCCCGUAACUUCGGGAGAAGGGGUGCUCCAGAGAUGGAGCCGCAGAGAAUCGGCCCAAGCAACUGUUUACCAAAAACACAGGUUUGUGCUAAAUCGAAAGAUGACGUAUACGAGCUGACGCCUGCCCGGUGCUGGAAGGUUAAGAGGAGAUGUGCAAGCAUUGAAUCGAAGCCCCAGUGAACGGCGGCCGUAACUAUAACGGUCCUAAGGUAGCGAAAUUCCUUGUCAGGUAAGUUCUGACCCGCAUGAAAGGCGUAAUGAUUUGGGCACUGUCUCAACAGCCCGCCCGGCGAAAUUGUAGUACCGGUGAAGAUGCCGGUUACCCGCGACAAGACGGAAAGACCCCAUGGAGCUUUACUGUAGCCUAAUAUUGGGUUUCGAUGUUGCAUGCACAGGAUAGAUGGGACACAGGGAAACAAGUGCUUUGGCAUUUGUGGAGUGGCCGUUGGGAUACCAUCCUUGCGAUAUUGGAAUUCUAACCUGCGCCUUUGAAUCAAGGCGGGGGACAUUGUUAGGUGGGCAGUUUGACUGGGGCGGUCGCCUCCUAAAGAGUAACGGAGGCGUUCAAAGGUUCGCUCAGCUUGAACGGAAAUCAAGCAAAAGAGUGCAAACGCAGAAGCGAGCCUAACUGCGAGACUGACGGGUCGAGCAGUAACGAAAGUUGGAGUUAGUGAUCCGGUGGUAUGUGAGUGGAAAUGCCAUCGCUCAACGGAUAAAAGUUACCCUGGGGAUAACAGGCUGAUCUCCCCCAAGAGUCCACAUCGACGGGGAGGUUUGGCACCUCGAUGUCGGCUCAUCGCAUCCUGGGGCUGUAUUCGGUCCCAAGGGUUUGGCUGUUCGCCAAUUAAAGCGGUACGCGAGCUGGGUUCAGAACGUCGUGAGACAGUUCGGUCCCUAUCUGUCGUGGGCGCAGGAUAUUUGAUGGGAGCUGUUCCUAGUACGAGAGGACCGGAGCGGACGUACCUCUGGCGCACCAGUUGUUCUGCCAAGGGCAUAGCUGGGCAACUAUGUACGGAUCGGAUAAACGCUGAAAGCAUCUAAGCGUGAAGCCGACCCAAAGAUAAGAUAUCCCAUUGUUUCAAACAAGUAAGACCCCUUGAAGACUACAAGGUUGAUAGGCACGAUGUGUAAGUGGAGUGAUCCAUUCAGCAAGCGUGUACUAAUAGGUCGAGGGCUUGACCAC